rnacentral:rRNA from 1 species
AUACGGAGGAUCCGAGCGUUAUCCGGAUUUAUUGGGUUUAAAGGGUGCGCAGGCGGCCAUUUAAGUCAGCGGUUAAAUCGUGGGGCUCAACCCCAUUCUGCCGUUGAUACUGGGUGGCUUGAUUGCGGUCGAGGUUGGCGGAAUUCGUUGUGUAGCGGGGAAAUGCAUAGAUAUGACGAAGAACACCGAUUGCGUAGGCAGCUGACCAGACCGCAAAUGACGCUCAUGCACGAAAGUGCGGGGAUCGAACAGGAUUAGAUACCCUGGUAGUCCGCACAGUAAACGAUGAAUACUUGUUUUCGGCGAUAUAAUGUCGGAGGCAAAGCGAAAGCGAUAAGUAUUCCACCUGGGGAGUACGCCGGCAACGGCGAAACUCAAAGGAAUUGACGG